CCGACCUUAGCUCAGUUGGAAGAGCACGAGACUGUAAU
rnacentral:tRNA from 1 species